rnacentral:misc_RNA from 1 species
CCACCAUUCAUCUUCCCCACAUCACUCUCUUCGACCUUAAUCUCGCACUGAUUCUGAUUUUGAUUAUUUGUUUUCAGCCACGCCAAUCCAAAAUCGGCAAUCUUUGCCGAAAAACACUGAUCCAGCAAAAUAUUACUGGGCUUUAUAUCGCCAUGAAUAACAGGCGGAUCCAAACAAUGAAGAUACUCGAUCCCUUUAGCUAUAUCAAUCGCAAUGCUAAACCUUUUACUCCACUGCAACAAUUCGGGGCACUUCCUGUGGAGAAGGGCAUCCUGUAAGUUGCCGUUAGGCAUGAGCUCAUAUAUAAGCAACAUCGUCGGAUGUUUCCGAUCGGAGGAGAAGCCAAGGGCCGNNNNNNNNUCAAGUUUCGAGGCAAAAAGAAUCUCGUUUUGGAACUCACGCUCGCCCUGCAGAGAGCCCGAGUCCAUGACUUUCACGGCGAUCAGUUGUCCAUUUGGGAGGGUGCCACGAAAUACGGAACCAAACCCACCUUGGCCCAGGCGAAGGGAAGGGGAGAAGGAAUCGGUGGCGCGGCGUAGGGUAGAGUAAGAGAAGCGGUGAGGUGGCUUAGAAUCAGAAGGGACAGUGCGCUUGCGGCUGAUUUUACAGAAGCAGACAGCGAAAAGUAGUAGGCAGGAGAAGGCGGCUGUGGCAGCGGUGAGAGGGGGAAGGAGACGGGAAGAGAGAAGACGGUGAUGAUGUGGGAAUUGGGUGGGAGAAGGUGUAGCUAUAGGAGGGGAAGUGACAAAUGGGAGAAAUAACGGUGGAGGAAUCGGACGGGAUGGCAUGGUGGGAAAGGUGUAGAGACUAGAAAGGAGAGAAGGGGUGGAAGCAAAGCUUCAUGUUCGUGGUUGUUCUAGCAUCUGUGGCGUGAUGGGUUCUUACCUGUUAUUGUU